rnacentral:lncRNA from 1 species
CACAGACAGUCCGAGUGCAGAGAGCACACAGUGAGAAGUGACUAAUACAUUGUCUGAAUUAUAACAGUACUGACAAGCAUAUUACACGAACACACAAACUGACUACGGUAUGUGAAACCUGAGCGUCAAUCAUAAAAUAUGGUUCAAAGACUUCAAAGGACACACAAGAGUAUGAAAAUAGAGAUUUAUAACACAAAAGUUAUACAAAAACACAUUUUAAGACAAUGUAUAAAUAAAAUGAAAAAUCGAAUCUUUGGAUUUAGGACAUUAUAUAUGAUCUGUACCCACUGGGCACAAACUGGUUGAAUCAACAUUGUUUCCACGUCAUUUCAAUGAAAUUAGGUUGAACCAACGUGGAAUAGACAUUGAAUUGACGUCUGUGCCCAGCGGGUACUGUCUGAACCGAUGAGGUCAAUGAGUUGUAGAAGUGAUGUUUUUUUCUCUCACUCGUUCAUGGUUUCUCAUCAGCACCACCCACAUCAACUGACUUUCCCACCAGUUUUUAUCCAGUCAACAAUCACCUUGUCUACACAUUCCAUACUUCGAAGUCCAUUCAGAGAUUUCAGCAGAAGUCCAAUGACCUCAUCCUCUCUCUAAACAACAGUCCAAUCCCAGCCUCUGCCUUCAGGGAAAGCUCCAAUCACGUGCUGUUCUGUUGACAGGCAGGUGCGUUGGUGAGCAGCAGGCGAACCUUCCCUCGUAGGAAGUUGGUGUGGACACGGAACAGCUCGGAUAGGGACGACACCUUCCUGGUCGCUGAGUCACUUCCUGCUGGCACUGGAGAGAGGGACAGGUCCUGUUCAAUGGAUGACAGCAAGAACAAGGGUUAACAUACAAACCAUAAAAAGAAAGCACCACUCAUCUGUUCUGUGGAAGGGGUUCUAUUCCAGGUUUUCUUCCCGCCCCGCUAAUCCAUGCCAAACGGUAUGCAGCCAAAUAGAAGCCACUGCUAUGUCUGGCCUGCUCAAUGCCGUCUCAGUCACUGAACUGCCCUACCCUGAAAAGUUACUGGCUUCUGACAGAGAAGCAAACAAAGCACAGCAGGCAGGUGGUGGCAUGCUGAGGGGAGAGGAACAUCUGACUGACUGUACCCAUGGUCUAUGAAUUUUCCAAGAACUCCUAUCUAUAACUAGACUCUCUGCUGUGGAGGAACAGUAUGUGCACACUGAGACACAUCCAAUAAAAAGAGAAAGAGACAGAAGUUUUUCCCUGGCCAGUUGAUCAGACCAGGAACAUUUCCUGGUCUUACGUAACAAACUGCUUACAUUUCAGGAAACACUCUUACAGCAGCGAGUGCAUACUUUUUCCAUACUGGUCCCCCAUGGGGAUCGAAACCACAACCCUGGCAUUGCACCAUGCUUUACCAACUGAGCCACACGGAACCCCUGUUCACACCACAGUCCCAUCCACUGGUCAUGCUGUAGACGAGACACCCACAGUCCUAUCCACUGGUCAUGCUGUAGACGAGACACCCACAGUCCCAUCCACUGGUCAUGCUGUAGACGAGACACCCACAGUCCCAUCCACUGGUCAUGCUGUAGACGAGACACCCACAGUCCCAUACACUGGUCAUGCUGUAGACGAGACACCCACAGUCCCAUCCACUGGUCAUGCUGUAGACGAGACACCCACAGUCCUAUCCACUGGUCAUGCUGUAGACGAGACACCCACAGUCCCAUCCACUGGUCAUGCUGUAGACGAGACACCCACAGUCCCAUCCACUGGUCAUGCUGUAGACGAGACACCCACAAUCCUCAGUGAGUCACCUUGAUGUGGAGGCUGCGCAGCACCUGGCCCAGGCUGUGGAUGUUGCUCUUGUUGUUGUCGAUGAGGCUCUGCACGGCAGCACGGCUCACUGACUCCCGCACAGCACCCAGGGCCUGGCCAAACAGAGACAGCCCCGACUGGACCUCCAGAGCCUGCUCCUCAGUCUGGGAAUACACACACAAAUUACACAUUACAUAAACACAUACGCUAAAACAAAUCUCCCUAAAUAUGUCAUUAUACAUUGUCAUAUAUAGCAAAGGAACCAUGCACAUUAGGGCCAAUGUAGAUUACAACCUCUCACUUUUGGUCAUUUGAAAAUGAAAUCAUCUCCAAAAUAUUGCUUUUUUUAAAACAAGCCAUAGAAAGUUGGUUGCAAUUUCAGUUUAAUCCACCAGAAAAGACAGAACAAAUAUUACAACAAAUAUUAUGGUUAAACUCAAAUAUAGAAAUUGAUUUUUUUUUUUUAAAUGUUGGGCGACGAAAUGUUUUAAAACGGUUUAAUCUUUGAUAAUGAUAUCAUAAAAAUGAAUGCUGGAGUUAUGUCACACAUGAAGCUAACAGAAAUAUAUGGAAAUGUCUGCUCUACCCAAAAUUACAUCCAACUAAUUGUAGCGCUACCGCAAAAAUGGAAGACGCAAGUGAAAGGGGGAAAAAGUAAGGAACUUGUCUGUCGGCCCUGCAUUAAAGCCAAAAAUAGUUAAAGAAAAUUAUACCUGUUUAAUUUAAGGACCAAAGAAUUGACAGCUGUGCUAUACAGAUUUAGAAAUAGUUGUGAAGAGAUUUUCAAUGUACUGAUUCCAUGGCACGUGGUUUAUGAACUGAUACACAAAAUGACACCGGAUUCAAAACUGAGUUUUUCAAUUUAAAUUAUUAUACACAUUUCUUGCAAUAUGGGGGCUACAACCAUCCCAGCUCUGCAGAUUUUGCUGCGAAGAGAUAGAAUCAUUGAAUCAUUUGUUUUGGUACUGUCCAUAUGUAGCUUGUUUUUGGUUGCAGAUUCAGAAAUGGCUGAAGAAUUGCCACAUUUACCUGGAGUUAACACUGCGAAUAGCACUGCUGGGUGAUUUGAAAAGUCAUAGUCAAUCGAUCAAUAAUAUAACAAUACUUUUAGCAAAAAAUGGUAUCUUUCAUUUACAAUCUGUAAAACUAUGAGAAUAGAAAGUUUCAGAACGUUUGUGAGAAAUCACAGCACAGUAAAAUACAUUGUGUCCGUAAAAUGUAUAUAAUAUGUAUAAGCUGGAAGUAGAAGCCUAAGUGUUGUUGUUCAUUAGUUUACUCCAAUUAGGGGAUAGGGUGUUAGGGUUAAGGGAAAAUAAUAAAGGAAAAAAUAUA